rnacentral:lncRNA from 1 species
GUACGGUGUAUCUAAGCUGCAAUCCAGGGAUAUACUUUUCAAUUAGCAAUUGUGAUUCUGAGUUGGUGACAGUGCUUUCCUCUCACUCUGAGGUGUCCUCCUGGAGUCUUGGGAAGUUUCAAAGGAAAGAAUCAAAAGAUGUGAUUUUAUUGAAACCCCAGAUCCUUUCCGCAGGAACCCCUCUGUUUCCUUAACAGUUUCCCAGCUGGUCUCUUGGAAAAUACGUCUAAUUAAAUCCGAUGUUUAGGUCCUGCCACUCCUAGUUGUCUGGGCUUCACAUCUCGGCCUUGGUUUCCUUCUCUGUAAAUUGGAGAGAUAAUAAAGGCAGGUGGCGAAACCACUGAGCUAAAUCCCCAGCCAUCAUUGCUGUUUUCUGAUCUACCUUUUGUGCUCUACUGCUCUGUCCUAAGAAGACCUUUGCCCAGAGAUAGCCACGAAGGGUGAGAGGAGACAGCACGUAUUGGUCACAGCAUGAGUUUUGGGGUCAGCCAGCAGACACCUCCAUCCUGAAUUUUUGGUCACACCGAUUUCUUCAGUGUUUCCAAACAUCUUGGACAUUUCUACCUCUGGGCCUUCACUUACCAGAAUUCCUGGCG